rnacentral:rRNA from 1 species
AACGCUAGCUACAGGCUUAACACAUGCAAGUCGAGGGGAAACGACAUCGAAAGCUUGCUUUUGAUGGGUGGCGACCGGCGCACGGGUGAGUAACACGUAUCCAACCUACCGUUUACUACGGGAUAGCCUUCUGAAAAGGAGAUUAAUACCGUAUGGUAUUCUAAAGUUUCAUGACAUUAGAAUUAAAGGUUUACCGGUAAUCGAUGGGGAUGCGUUCCAUUAGAUAGUAGGCGGGGUAACGGCCCACCUAGUCAGCGAUGGAUAGGGGUUCUGAGAGGAAGGUCCCCCACAUUGGAACUGAGACACGGUCCAAACUCCUACGGGAGGCAGCAGUGAGGAAUAUUGGUCAAUGGACGAGAGUCUGAACCAGCCAAGUAGCGUGAAGGAUGACUGCCCUAUGGGUUGUAAACUUCUUUUAUAAAGGAAUAAAGUGGUCCACGUGUGGAUUUUUGUAUGUACUUUAUGAAUAAGGAUCGGCUAACUCCGUGCCAGCAGCCGCGGUAAUACGGAGGAUCCAAGCGUUAUCCGGAUUUAUUGGGUUUAAAGGGAGCGUAGAUGGAUUUUUAAGUCAGUUGUGAAAGUUCGGGGCUCAACCCCGUAAUUGCAGUUGAUACUGGAUAUCUUGAGUACAGUUGAGGUAGGCGGAAUUCGUGGUGUAGCGGUGAAAUGCUUAGAUAUCACGAAGAACUCCGAUUG